rnacentral:rRNA from 1 species
UUAGAUACCCUACUAUACUAAUAAAAGCCUUAAUUAUUAAUAGAUAUAUUCUUUAAAUUUGAAGAAUUUGGCGGUGGUUUAAUCUCAUUAGAGGAACCUGUUUUUAAAUCGAUACACCACGUAAAAUUUUACCCAUGUUUAUUAGUUUGUAUACCAUCAUUAUCAGAUAAUUUUCAGAAAACUAAUUAUUGAAAGUUAGAAAAGAUAUAAGUUUAAGUUAAAUUAGAUCAAGGUGCAGCUUAUAAAUGGGUUAAAAUGGGUUACAAUAAAUUUUAUUUAUUACGGAGUAAUUAAAAUGAAAAGUUAUUAUAAAGGAGGAUUUAAUAGUAAUAUGAAUUUAAUAAGUUCAAAAGAUAUAAGCUCUAAAUUAUGUACAUAUCGCCCGUCGC